AUGCACACCAAUUACCACAAUCACGAGGUAAUUAUGCGGCACGAAGGCACCCGCGUGAUCUUCGCCGGAAGGGAAACACUUGGCUGGGUCAAUCAUUGGCAUGGCAUUAUUCUAUGCAAUGUGCUUGACAACAACGCGGUCAUGCGUUUGAUCCAAUGGCCUGUUUCGAUCCCUUGCAAUAUAGUGUCGCGGUUCGGCAUGGGAGUCGACAAUAUCUACGCACGGCCGUUUUGCGACGUCGCUAUAAGCAACGGCGUCAUCAGGUUCGUCGAGUUGAAACCUUGUCAGCGUAGCGAUCCCUGCAAUGAUAAAGCGGUCAUUGGCCAAGGCUGGACGGUCACCACAUGGAACAGGGGGAUCCGCUCAAACAAGUGGGACAAGAGGUUCACUGUCAAGGCUGAUAAUGUGCCUAACACAGGUUUAAGUUACCCUAAGGUAUCAGGCGGCAAGAGGCUAUGCUGGGACAAGGUGGUUCAUGGUGGGCCCACUCUGAGCUUGUGUGACGACGAUGUUGUCUAUAUUAUGGCUAGACUGGACAUCCGGCCCGCGAUUGCAUGGAUGCUUGCCAUUAACAUUAGAGAGGGAACACUGGAAGCGGUCAAGCAGUGUUCUGCUGAAAAGAUGCUUGGUCUUGAACCGACUUAUGUUCGGUGUGCCUUGUCCAACUACCUCAAGCAGUGGAGAAGGUCUUGA
rnacentral:rRNA from 1 species